GGGCCCGUGGCUCAGUUGGGAGAGCGCUGCGUUCGCAUCGCAGAGGUCGAGAGUUCGAAUCUCUUCGGGUCCACCA
rnacentral:tRNA from 1 species